rnacentral:rRNA from 1 species
CAAUGGGGGAACCCUGNAUGCAGCGACGCCGCGUGGAGGAAGAAGGUCUUCCGUAUUGUAAACUCCUGUUGUUGAGGAAGAUAAUGACGGUACUCAACAAGGAAGUGACGGCUAACUACGUGCCAGCAGCCGCGGUAAAACGUAGGUCACAAGCGUUGUCCGGAAUUACUGGGUGUAAAGGGAGCGCAGGCGGGAGAACAAGUUGGAAGUGAAAUCCAUGGGCUCAACCCAUGAACUGCUUUCAAAACUGUUUUUCUUGAGUAGUGCAGAGGUAGGCGGAAUUCCCGGUGUAGCGGUGGAAUGCGUAGAUAUCGGGAGGAACACCAGUGGCGAAGGCGGCCUACUGGGCACCAACUGACGCUGAGGCUCGAAAGUGUGGGUAGCAAACAGGAUUAGAUACCCUGGUAGUCCAAGGGCGAAUUC